GAUGAACGCUGGCGGCGUGCCUAAUACAUGCAAGUCGAGCGAACGGACGAGAAGCUUGCUUUUCUGAUGUUAGCGGCGGACGGGUGAGUAACACGUGGAUAACCUACCUAUAAGACUGGGAUAACUUCGGGAAACCGGAGCUAAUACCGGAUAAUAUUGUGAACCGCAUGGUUCAAAAGUGAAAGACGGUCUUGCUGUCACUUAUAGAUGGAUCCGCGCUGCAUUAGCUAGUUGGUAAGGUAACGGCUUACCAAGGCAACGAUGCCUAGCCGACCUGAGAGGGUGAUCGACCACCCUGGAACUGAGACACGGUCCAGACUCCUACGGGAGGCACCAGUAGGGAAUCUUCCGCAAUGGGCGAAAGCCUGACGGAGCAACGCCGCGUGAGUGAUGAAGGUCUUCGGAUCGUAAAACUCUGUUAUUAGGGAAGAACAUAUGUGUAAGUAACUGUGCACAUCUUGACGGUACCUAAUCAGAAAGCCACGGCUAACUACGUG
rnacentral:rRNA from 1 species